UGUAAACAGGAUAUGUACACAUAAGUGGCCUUUUCCAUGUAUUAUUUACUUUGAAUUUGUCCAUGGACUUUGUGACUUAAAUACGGAUUAUCGUAUGAGAUGUAAUGUGCUAUACUAUAAAUAUUAUUCUUUACAAACGUGUAUAUUUAUGAAUUUGUAACUAUGGCUGUUUCUCGGAACGUGCCGGACAACAAAUACAGUUAUGUAUAAUGAAGAUACAAAUGGACGUUGCUGCCCGUUGAUAGACAAUGAUGACCCGAGGAACCCACUCAUGAAUGACGCUAAACUUCCAUUAAUAAAUCCAAGGGAAAAGACACCAAAAUAUAAUGAAGAAUUAAAAGCUCAGAUUAACGAGAUUAAAAUCGAGAUGAUACGCCAGUCUGAAGAGAUUGAUCGUCAGCUUAACAGAACUAAUGGUCUUGAUGAAGCAGCCGUAAAGAAAUUUUUUGCGGAAACAAAGCACAAACGAAAACCCUGUUGGAAGCUUCUACUUUGUUCCUCAUGUUGUCACCGUUAACAAAUAAAAAACAUUUGAAGAAUCCCAGAAAGGUGUGUCAGAAUGAAGAGAGGAAAGAACGUCUAUAUACAGCUUUGCUGUCAAUCACAUGGUUUCAUUAAGCCUGUAAUUAUAUCAUUUGACAUCAGGAAACAGUUCAAGGUCAUAAGGAAACGUUGUAUUGUAUCUAUAAUCAUAUGAACUAGAUCUUUAGUUGAUUUUCCCUUAUUUAUUUCUAUUUGUCAUCAUUUACGUCACAAAAUGAUGAAAUUUUGCAAGCAAUUAUUCCAGUACGAGGAUGUAUAUAGUCAAUAUAGUCAAAAUAUAUAUAAGUAUUUUAUCCACAAAUAAAACGUACACUGCAUGUAAAUUAAUAGGCAUAUUGUCAUUAUUGAAUGAUUACCUUUACAUUUUUAGAAAAAAAUUCAAACAACACCAAAUCAUAGAAAGAAAAAGUUGUUUCGCAUGAAAAUUGAGCAACAUAUAAAACAUGUAUAUGACUCUUGAAAACAGAUGUCAAUUUACUAAUAUAUACAUGGAGUGCAUAAAAGGGGCAUACUUCCGGACAGAUCAAUGCCUUUAACAACUCACCAUUUUAAAGAACUGUUACAUAUUUUCGUUUCAAUGCAUUUGCAAUAACGUCCCAGUGCUGAAAUUCUGCGUAACUUGGUGGGACAUAGUAUUUAGUACUUGUUUAUUUCUUUACACACGGCAUUCAUUUUUAAAGAGGACAACUUUUUUGAGAAUAUUUUAAGUAUACAUCGCAUGGGACAGUACGGUAGAACAUGUAAUGAACAGAUAGAUUGUUAGUAAAGAUGGUGUUUGUUUAUCAAAUAUUUCUGUGUUUUGAUGAUAAGAAAUGUUAAUCGUGUUUUGAGAAUUUUCGGAUGUACUUGCUGUUAACUAACAUUUUUACGGAGAUCUAUUUCAUAAUAUCAUUAAAUUUUAUUUCGAUUUUGAGUCGAUUCGAUUAUGAUAUCAUAAAAUAAGUAAACAUCGUACAAUACUAAUUCUGUGUACGAAAGAUUGAUAUGCAUAAAUUGAAUUUAAUAUAUCAUUUUGUUUGUUUCUUUGUUUAGUUUGGGUUUAGCGCCGUUUUACAACAGUGUCUCAGAUAUAUCAUGACGGACAGCCAUUCUGUACCAUUUCUAACAAAUUCCUAUCUUCUCGAACUGAAGUCAGAUGUGGAGGACGAAUGAUUUCAGAUAUUGUGUCUUUUAAAUUAUCAAAUCGUCAAAGAGAAAACAUGCUUCGCCCGGGGAUCUUAGGACAUCUUAAAACCACAGACAUUUUGAGAUAUCUUUAAAUCAUUUAUUUAUAACAUCAAAUGCAUUUUCAGAUAUCAUGAAAUGAAUUAAGUAUUUCAUUAAAUGGAAUUUAGGAUAUGAAUGAAUAUUCGUGGAGCUAUUUAGAGAUAUCCAUUUCUAUUUUGUCAUAUUCUUAAAUCACAAAAUCAUUUGAUAAUACAACAGUAGAGUCCCCGUCAAUGCUUAUAAAUGUGCUAGAUUCGAAGUAAAUCGUAUAUUUUGCGGACUAAAAUCACACGUUCUUCAAAAAAUACCCUGAAAACAGAAGCUAUGACUCUCCAUGCAGUUCUUUAAAUAUGUUUGACGAUUUGGAAAAUAAGUUUUUAGACUUCAGUGUUAAAUAUGAGAACUUUAACUUUUGACUUUUUGGAGAUUUUAAUGCCAAAAGUGGUAAAUUGUCAGAUUUUUGUGAUAUUGAUAAUUAUGUCAUAGAUGAUAUUUUUAUAUUAAUACUAAGCAGAUUGUUGGUUUAAACAACCUUGCUGGUUUAGGGAUACCGACUGAGCACAUUUCCAGUGAUCUUUAUCCCUGUAAUAGUGGCCGCAUGCCUAUAGAAAUGCGUAAAUUUUGCCAACGAUCGUUGUGGUUCAGAUACUUAUGUAGGAAAAUGUUCUUGUAUCAGUGGUAGUGUUAUUGAUUAUGUGUUAUUGUCUGAUAUAACUUUCCCAAGAGUCAAACACUUUUAUAUUUUAGACUUUGACCAAUAGCUAUGCAUAACUGUCAAGUUUAUUAAAGUAAAAUACUUUAUAGUGAAUCAGGAUGAAGUUCUUGAUGAGAACUUGAUGUUCAUGAGUUCUGUUUUGGGUAAGAACUGAAAAGAAGACUUUAUUGGCUACUUUGACGUAAAUGACACCAAUAAUGUAAUGUCAGAUAUGGAUUUAUAUUAUGCAUAAUAGAAUUAUAAUAACGUUGUUAUGAAUGAUAUAACAGAAUACAUUUCAAAUAUUUCUGUUAAUGCUGCUAGAAACUAUUAUUUUAUUCAGCAAAAGAAGGUUUACCAGAAGACUAAAUCUACGAAUUCUCAUAAACCAUAAGGUGGUUUACCAUAAAUAUAUAUGUUUAAAUAUGCCUUGUUGUAUGAUAUGUUAUGUUUUUGUCAGAUGCCAAUAAGGGCAUUGACUUUCAAUAAACUUUGAACUAUU
rnacentral:lncRNA from 1 species